GGGGGCUCAUAGCUCAGCGGUAGAGCAUCAACUUGGUAAGCAGACAUUUCCAGGUUAAAUCUCUGGUACCUCCA
rnacentral:tRNA from 1 species